UAUUAUGUUGGUUCAAAAAUAAUUGCACUUUUUGCUAUUUUAAUGGUAAAAACUGCAAUUACUUUUGCACCAACCUAAUA
ensembl:miRNA